rnacentral:rRNA from 1 species
CCUACGGGUGGCUGCAGUGGGGAAUUUUGGACAAUGGGGGAAACCCUGAUCCAGCCAUGCCGCGUGUGUGAAGAAGGCCUUCGGGUUGUAAAGCACUUUCGGACGGAACGAAAUUGCGCGGGCGAAUAUCCCGCGUGGAUGACGGUACCGUAAGAAGAAGCACCGGCUAACUACGUGCCAGCAGCCGCGGUAAUACGUAGGGUGCGAGCGUUAAUCGGAAUUACUGGGCGUAAAGCGUGCGCAGGCGGCGUCGCAAGUCAGGCGUGAAAUCCCCG